UUGCUUCUCUAAAUUCUUUGUUUGAAUGAAAACAGGCUACAGUUGCUAACUUUAUCUCAUUUUUUUUGGACGGGAAUGUUAUCUUGUUAUAUGUUCGAUUUCUGCGUUUUUCAUCUCAAAAUAUAAUCAUUUACAUUACUAUUAUCAUUUUUACAUGUAGUCGCACAUGUUCAAUAUACAUCUUUAGUUUGCUUUCAAAGGAGAAAAAUAGAUAUUCUGGACCGCUCCUGGACAACCGCGCCUUAGAGGCUCGCGAGCUGGACCGAGGCUCGAGUCGAGGUGCCUUUGUCGGCUCAUCGCAGCUUCCGAGCUACUCAGAAGCUCGGUUCACCAAAGUCCAGCACGGCUCGGCUCAUGUCCAGCCCUGCCAAAGGAUAUGACCGUCAGUAAACGAAAUUUGCAUCCAGCUGAUGCUGCAUUCGUGACCUUGCAAUAAAGAGAAGUUCUCCAUUUGGGAAGACAUUUAAGGUGGGCUGAUAAUUGUCAAGCAAACUUUGCAGUGAAGGAGGAGGUGCUCGGCCGUCUCGAUCGCCGAAGAAACAUAUAGUGCAGGACGCUGACUUACACGUCUGGAACAAUCCAAUCGUGGUCGAGGAGCCAUAUGAUGAAGGGGACAUGCGAGGAUUGCCAAAGAAGUUUUUGCCCCGGCGCACACAGCUUGCUGUGAGGGGAGUCGUUGAGGAGAGCUACCGUUCAUCGAAGAAUGGAGAGCUAGGUACACCUCAUCUAGAUAAUCAGGAGGUGCGCCUCAUGUACUUCGUCUCCAUAGCUCAGAAGGGAAACUGCAGCUUCUUUCCAGCUAGUGACUACUUUCUGUGUUUCUAAAUGUAAGUCUUUUAAGAAAUUAUGUCACGGACUACAUUCAAAUGUAUUUAGACAUAGUUUAGUGUGUAGAUUCAUUUAUUUUGCUU
rnacentral:lncRNA from 1 species